rnacentral:rRNA from 1 species
AACUAAACAGGAUUCCCUUAGUAAUGGCGAAUGAACAGGGAUGAGCUCAACAUGGAAAUUGUGGCACCUCGCCAUGAAUUGUAAUCUCUCGAUGCAUUGCCAAUGGAGGCGCAGAUGUAAGCCGCUUGGAAAAGCGAUUCAUGGAGGGUGAGAUGCCCGUUUGUCAUCUGCAGUCCUCUGUGUUCGGCGUGCAUUCUAAGAGUCACGUUCCUUGGGAGUGGAGCGCAAAUUGGGUGGUAAAUUUCAUCUCAAGCUAAAUAUGGGUUCGAGACCGAUAGCAAACAAGUACCAUGAGGGAAAGAUGAAAAGGACUUUGAAAAGAGAGUUAAAAGUGCCUGAACUUGCUGAAACGAAAGCGGAUGGAACCAGUCUGCUUGGUGAGAUUGUCGCGUGCUGCAUUGAUUGUCUGCUUGCUCAGUGUAAGCGUGCUUGUAGUCUUUGAUGUGUUCGCGCGUGAUGUUUCUUGCCUUGUCAGUCACUGUCAGUUGGCAGGCGAGGAUAACUCUUGGGACAUGGUAGCCUACUUGCGGGUGGGUGAAUGUGCCUUGUAGGACUCGCUUGUGUACUGCAUUCUUUUGUUUGGCUGCGCUGCUGUGCUUUGGUGUCCUCGUGGCUCUGAGCACUGGCACCUCCCUUACAAUCUAUGGUGACGAAAUGGUUCUAUUCGACCCGUCUUGAAACACGGACCAAGGAGUCUAACAUAUGUGCAAGUUCAUGGGCGUUAAACCUAUGUGCGUAAUGAAAGUAAGUGCUGAGAUAUUUGCAUCAGCAGCCGACCAAUCGAUUGGGAGAGGUUUGAGCAUGAGCAUAUCUGUUAGGACCCGAAAGAUGGUGAACUAUGCCUGAGAAGGGUGAAGUCUGGGGAAACUCAGAUGGAGGCUCGUAGCGAUACUGACGUGCAAAUCGUUCGUCAUA